UUUCAGGAUUGGCUUACUGAAACCACGUGAUUUACAAUGCCUAUAUUAGAACACUGAAUUUAAAUGAUCAGACUGCGAAGGUACUGGUUGACUGUGGUUAUUGAAGCCAUGAAAAGCAAAACGCUGCAUAAAGGGAGACCAUCACGUCUAACUAGCCUUCUUCAGGAUUCCCACUGAGUGAACUGGAUCUUGCUACAACUAUUGAAAGCUUAAAGAUCUUUAGAAUUGUAGGACUGGUCUGCAGUAUGGCAGAAAUUUGCAGCCUCUGUUCUCAGUUUCCUAUCUUUCUGGGUCAAGAAUACAGUUUAAGGAAUUAACUACCUGCUCCCAAGCCAAUAAAGAAAAGCUGAGGACCUGAUGAAUUCACCACAGAAUUUUACCAAAACUUCAAGAAAGAACAAGUCAAACACUCUUCACACUGUUUCAUAAAAUUGAAAGGGAAGGAGCACUGCUAAACUCGUUCCUUGAAGCUGGAAUUACCCUGAAUACAAAAAUCAGACAAGAACUCAACAGAAAAAGAAAACUACAAGCCAGUUUCCUUAAUGAACACAGAUGCAAAAAUCCUCAACAACAUAACUGCAAAGAAAAUAUAGCAAGUCAUUAAAAAGAUCAUACACUGUGACCAAGAAGUCUUUGAUGAAAUCCAAUAUAUGAUCGUGAAACACAGGUAUAAAAACCUUACC